GAGGGUAACAGCUCAGUGGUAGAGCAUGUGCUUAGCACGCCUGAGGUCCUGAGUUCAAUUCCCAGUACCUCCA
rnacentral:tRNA from 1 species